rnacentral:rRNA from 1 species
UAGAGUUUGAUCCUGGCUCAGAUUGAACGCUGGCGGCAGGCCUAACACAUGCAAGUCGAACGGUAGCACAGAGAGCUUGCUCUCGGGUGACGAGUGGCGGACGGGUGAGUAAUGUCUGGGAAACUGCCUGAUGGAGGGGGAUAACUACUGGAAACGGUAGCUAAUACCGCAUAACGUCGCAAGACCAAAGAGGGGGACCUUCGGGCCUCUUGCCAUCAGAUGUGCCCAGAUGGGAUUAGCUAGUAGGUGGGGUAACGGCUCACCUAGGCGACGAUCCCUAGCUGGUCUGAGAGGAUGACCAGCCACACUGGAACUGAGACACGGUCCAGACUCCUACGGGAGGCAGCAGUGGGGAAUAUUGCACAAUGGGCGCAAGCCUGAUGCAGCCAUGCCGCGUGUAUGAAGAAGGCCUUCGGGUUGUAAAGUACUUUCAGCGGGGAGGAAGGUGUUGUGGUUAAUAACCACAGCAAUUGACGUUACCCGCAGAAGAAGCACCGGCUAACUCCGUGCCAGCAGCCGCGGUAAUACGGAGGGUGCAAGCGUUAAUCGGAAUUACUGGGCGUAAAGCGCACGCAGGCGGUCUGUCAAGUCGGAUGUGAAAUCCCCGGGCUCAACCUGGGAACUGCAUUCGAAACUGGCAGGCUAGAGUCUUGUAGAGGGGGGGUAGAAUUCCAGGUGUAGCGGUGAAAUGCGUAGAGAUCUGGAGGAAUACCGGUGGCGAAGGCGGCCCCCUGGACAAAGACUGACGCUCAGGUGCGAAAGCGUGGGGAGCAAACAGGAUUAGAUACCCUGGUAGUCCACGCCGUAAACGAUGUCGACUUGGAGGUUGUGCCCUUGAGGCGUGGCUUCCGGAGCUAACGCGUUAAGUCGACCGCCUGGGGAGUACGGCCGCAAGGUUAAAACUCAAAUGAAUUGACGGGGGCCCGCACAAGCGGUGGAGCAUGUGGUUUAAUUCGAUGCAACGCGAAGAACCUUACCUACUCUUGACAUCCAGAGAACUUUCCAGAGAUGGAUUGGUGCCUUCGGGAACUCUGAGACAGGUGCUGCAUGGCUGUCGUCAGCUCGUGUUGUGAAAUGUUGGGUUAAGUCCCGCAACGAGCGCAACCCUUAUCCUUUGUUGCCAGCGGUCCGGCCGGGAACUCAAAGGAGACUGCCAGUGAUAAACUGGAGGAAGGUGGGGAUGACGUCAAGUCAUCAUGGCCCUUACGAGUAGGGCUACACACGUGCUACAAUGGCGCAUACAAAGAGAAGCAAACUCGCGAGAGCAAGCGGACCUCAUAAAGUGCGUCGUAGUCCGGAUUGGAGUCUGCAACUCGACUCCAUGAAGUCGGAAUCGCUAGUAAUCGUAGAUCAGAAUGCUACGGUGAAUACGUUCCCGGGCCUUGUACACACCGCCCGUCACGCCAUGGGAGUGGGUUGCAAAAGAAGUAGGUAGCUUAACCUUCGGGAGGGCGCUUACCACUUUGUGAUUCAUGACUGGGGUGAAGUCGUAACAAGGUAACC